rnacentral:rRNA from 2 species
ACAGGGAUUGCCCUAGUAACGGCGAGUGAAGCGGCAACAGCUCAAAUUUGAAAUCUGGCUCUUUUAGGGUCCGAGUUGUAAUUUGCAGAGGGCGCUUUGGCUUUGGCAGCGGUCCAAGUUCCUUGGAACAGGACGUCACAGAGGGUGAGAAUCCCGUACGUGGUCGCUAGCUAUUGCCGUGUAAAGCCCCUUCGACGAGUCGAGUUGUUUGGGAAUGCAGCUCUAAAUGGGAGGUAAAUUUCUUCUAAAGCUAAAUAUUGGCCAGAGACCGAUAGCGCACAAGUAGAGUGAUCGAAAGAUGAAAAGCACUUUGGAAAGAGAGUCAAACAGCACGUGAAAUUGUUGAAAGGGAAGCGCUUGCAGCCAGACUUGCUUGCAGUUGCUCAUCCGGGCUUUUGCCCGGUGCACUCUUCUGUAGGCAGGCCAGCAUCAGUUUGGGCGGUGGGAUAAAGGUCUCUGUCACGUACCUCUCUUCGGGGAGGCCUUAUAGGGGAGACGACAUACCACCAGCCUAGACUGAGGUCCGCGCAUCUGCUAGGAUGCUGGCGUAAUGGCUGUAAGCGGCCCGUCUUGAAACACGGACCAAGGAGUCUAACAUCUAUGCGAGUGUUUGGGUGUCAAGCCCGAGCGCGUAAUGAAAGUGAACGGAGGUGGGAACCCGCAAGGGUGCACCAUCGACCGAUCCUGAAGUUUUCGGAAGGAUUUGAGUAAGAGCAUGGCUGUUGGGACCCGAAAGAUGGUGAACUAUGCUUGAAUAGGGUGAAGCCAGAGGAAACUCUGGUGGAGGCUCGCAGCGGUUCUGACGUGCAAAUCGAUCGUCAAAUUUGGGCAUAGGGGCGAAAGACUAAU